rnacentral:snRNA from 1 species
UGAUUUCUCUUCAGAUUGUAUAAAUAUUUUGCCUUUUACUAAAGAUUUCUGUGGAGAGAAAAAGCUAA